rnacentral:rRNA from 1 species
UUCCUACGGGAGGCAGCAGUGGGGAAUAUUGCACAAUGGGGGGAACCCUGAUGCAGCGACGCCGCGUGGGUGAAGGAGUACUUCGGUACGUAAAGCCCUAUCAGCAGGAAAGAAAAUGACGGUACCUGACUAAGAAGCCCCGGCUAACUACGUGCCAGCAGCCGCGGUAAUACGUAGGGGGCAAGCGUUAUCCGGAUUUACUGGGUGUAAAGGGAGCGUAGGCGGCAAGGUAAGCCAGAAGUGAAAGCCCGCGGCUCAACUGCGGGACUGCUUUUGGAACUAUCUAGCUAGAUUGCAGGAGAGGG